rnacentral:rRNA from 1 species
AAGCUCCUACGGGGCGCAGCAGUGAGGAAUAUUGGUCAAUGGCCGAGAGGCUGAACCAGCCAAGUCGCGUGAGGGAAGACGGCCCUACGGGUUGUAAACCUCUUUUGUCGGGGAGCAAAGCGAACCACGUGUGGUUCAUUGAGAGUACCCGGAGAAAAAGCAUCGGCUAACUCCGUGCCAGCAGCCGCGGUAAUACGGAGGAUGCGCGCGUUAUCCGGAUUUAUUGGGUUUAAAGGGUGCGCAGGCGGAGGUGCAAGUCAG